AUUCGGUUAAAGCGGUCGGGAGUUAUGGGUCUUUGAAGUUUCCCGUUCGUGCAUUAAAAACCCACUAAAAUCUUGCCAUCCACAGUUAUCUUGACGUUCACCAGAAUCUCCAUGCAUAGUUUAAUCUUUUUUAAACGGCCGGCCGUUCGGUAGUUUCAGCACGAAUCCACGUUGUUAUGGAGGUCUCAGCCGUGUUCGUCUGUUUGCG